GCCCAGUUCGUCUAUCGGCUAGGACAUCUCCCUUUCACGGAGGAAAGACGGGUUCGACUCCCGUACCGGGUA
rnacentral:tRNA from 1 species